GACAGAGGUGCCAAGCGUUAGGCGGAAUCACUGGGCUUAAAGCGUGUGUAGGCGAACUUGUAAGUACCUUGUGAAAUCCCACGGCUCAACCGUGGAACUGCUUGGUAUACUGCUUGUCUUGAGCCACUUAGGGGCUACCGGAACAAAUGGUGGAGCGGUGAAAUGCGUAGAUAUCAUUUGGAACGCCAAUGGUGAAAACAGGUAGCUGGGAGUGUGCUGACGCUGAGACACGAAAGCCAGGGGAGCGAACGGG
rnacentral:rRNA from 1 species